rnacentral:miRNA from 1 species
CACCCACCUCAGCCUCCCAAAGUGCUGGGAUUACAGGCAUGAGCCACUGCGCCCGGCUAUGCCUUGACUCUUUAUCCAACUUGCCAGUCUG